rnacentral:rRNA from 1 species
GACGUAGGGCGCGAGCGUUGUCCGGAUUUAUUGGGCGUAAAGAGCUCGUAGGCGGCUUGUCGCGUCGACUGUGAAAUCCCGCGGCUCAACUGCGGGUCUGCAGUCGAUACGGGCAGGCUAGAGUUCGGUAGGGGAGACUGGAAUUCCUGGUGUAGCGGUGAAAUGCGCAGAUAUCAGGAGGAACACCGGUGGCGAAGGCGGCAUCCUGGACCAACACUGACACUGAGGAGCGAAAGCCAGGGGAGCAAACGGG